GAUGAACGCUAGCGGGAGGCCUAACACAUGCAAGCCGAGCGGUAUUGUUUCUUCGGAAAUGAGAGAGCGGCGUACGGGUGCGGAACACGUGUGCAACCUGCCUUUAUCUGGGGGAUAGCCUUUCGAAAGGAAGAUUAAUACUCCAUAAUAUAUUGAACGGCAUCGUUUAAUAUUGAAAGCUCCGGCGGAUAGAGAUGGGCACGCGCAAGAUUAGCUAGUUGGUGAGGUAACGGCUCACCAAGGCGAUGAUCUUUAGGGGGCCUGAGAGGGUGAUCCCCCAACUGGUACUGAGACACGGACCAGACUCCUACGGGAGGCAGCAGUGAGAUAUUGGUCAAUGGGUCAAGCCUGAACCAGCCAUCCCGCGUGAAGGACGACUGCCCUAUGGGUUGUAAACUUCUUUUGUAUAGGGAUAAACCUACCUCGUGAGGGUACUGAAGGUACUAUACGAAUAAGCAACCGGCUAACUCCGUAGCCCAGCCAGCCCGUCGGUAAACUCGUCUA
rnacentral:rRNA from 1 species